rnacentral:rRNA from 1 species
GAUGAACGCUAGCGGCAGGCCUAACACAUGCAAGUCGAGGGGUAGAACACUUCGGUGUUUGAGACCGGCGCACGGGUGCGUAACGCGUAUGCAAUCUACCUUAUACAGGGGAAUAGCCCAGAGAAAUUUGGAUUAAUGCCCCAUAGCAUUACGACUUGGCAUCAAGAUGUAAUUAAAGUUCCAACGGUAUAAGAUGAGCAUGCGUCCCAUUAGUUAGUUGGUAAGGUAACGGCUUACCAAGACAAUGAUGGGUAGGGGUCCUGAGAGGGAGAUCCCCCACACUGGUACUGAGACACGGACCAGACUCCUACGGGAGGCAGAAGUGAGGAAUAUUGGUCAAUGGGCGCAAGCCUGAACCAGCCAUGCCGCGUGCAGGAGGACGGUCCUAUGGAUUGUAAACUGCUUUUAUACAGGAAGAAACAUCCCGACGUGUCGGGACUUGACGGUACUGUAGGAAUAAGGAUCGGCUAACUCCGUGCCAGCCGCCGCAGUAAAAC